rnacentral:rRNA from 1 species
UACGUAGGGGGCAAGCGUUAUCCGGAAUUACUGGGUGUAAAGGGUGAGUAGGCGGCAUGGUAAGCCAGAUGUGAAAGCCUUGGGCUUAACCCGAGGAUUGCAUUUGGAACUAUCAAGCUAGAGUACAGGAGAGGAAAGCGGAAUUCCUAGUGUAGCGGUGAAAUGCGUAGAUAUUAGGAAGAACACCAGUGGCGAAGGCGGCCUGCUGGACGGUGACUGACGCUGAGGCUCGAAAGCGUGGGGAGCAAACAGG